rnacentral:rRNA from 1 species
GGACCUGACUGCUAUCGGAUUGAUACUAAGCCAUGCGAGUCAUUGUAGCAAUACAAGGCAUACGGCGCAGUAACGCGUAGUCAACCUAACCUAUGGACGGGAAUAACCUCGGGAAACUGAGAAUAAUGCCCGAUAGAACAUCAUGCCUGGAAUGGUUUAUGUUCCAAAUGAUUUAUCGCCGUAGGAUGGGACUGCGGCCUAUCAGUUUGUUGGUGAGGUAAUGGCCCACCAAGACUAUUACAGGUACGGGCUCUGAGAGGAGUAGCCCGGAGAUGGGUACUGAGACACGGACCCAGGCCCUAUGGGGCGCAGCAGGCGAGAAAACUUUGCAAUGUGCGAAAGCACGACAAGGUUAAUCCGAGUGGUUUCUGCUAAAGAAACCUUUUGUCAGUCCUAGAAACACUGAUGAAUAAGGGGUGGGCAAGUUCUGGUGU